rnacentral:rRNA from 1 species
AUGGAUUUAAAACAGCUUAGUGGCGGACGGGUGAGUAACGCGUGGGUAACCUGCCUCACACUGGGGGAUAACAGUUAGAAAUAGCUGCUAAUACCGCAUAAGCACACAGCAUCGCAUGAUGCAGUGUGAAAAACUCCGGUGGUGUGAGAUGGACCCGCGUCUGAUUAGCCAGUUGGCGGGGCAACGGCCCACCAAAGCGACGAUCAGUAGCCGGCCUGAGAGGGUGAACGGCCACAUUGGGACUGAGACACGGCCCAAACUCC